CUGUGUGUACUUGUACUGUAGAGUACAUAGUUGUACAGUAUAAUGAUAAUAUUAACAGGAUGAUGUUCAUAUGUGAGUGAUGUCAUUUGUUUUUGUUCAUCGUAGUGGGAGAUGUUUUUAAUGUGUAUCUUCUUUCUUAAAAACUACUGAAUCAUCUCACCUUUAAUUCUAGAUCACUUUAUUACUUUGGUCCAAUAUGUGCGCAGAAAAAUCACGAUUCUUUUAACUGGUCUUAUUAUAUGGGGUUCUGAGAGCAAACAAACCAAAACUGUACAUUUGUGUUCUUGUCAUAAUUAGAUCAUAUAAGAUGAAAGUUAUCUCAAAUAUACCUUGCUCUAGGCCUCACAAGAUUUUGUUUACCGAGGUCAGAGGACACAUAACUGCCACAGUCCACAAACAGGGGUAUAGAUAUAUUAACAUAUAUUUCUGUCAUUUUAUAAGGGUCAGGCACUUGGACACCUUACUUCUAGGAAAGAUUAGAAUGUCUACAAUUGCACAGUUUAUACUACUGAAGAGUAAAGGGCAUCUUAAUAUAAAUUUCUAAGCACUUCAAAGGGCUUUACAAUACUUGGUUAUAUGUACAGUAUACAUCUGGGAGUUAAUGGAUCGUUGCCCCACUGGAGGUUACAGCCUCAAGUGAGAGAAACUGUCAGUACAGGUAACUAUCGGCACCAACUUCUUUGGAGUAACAGUUAAGCAUAGAAGAAACUGUCAGCAAAUAUUGUGACAACACCAUAUGUGAGCUUUAAUUAUUGAUUUUACGAUACUCAUUCUCAGGCUGUGAAGUCGACCAACGCCUGGCUACUAACAGAUGGGUUAAACAAGGGCAUCACCUGUGUAGUGGGACACGCAGUCAACAGAGCUCAGUCUAUUAUUAAGGUGGGGGACAGGAUGGUGUCACAGAUUCAUUGCCUGGGAGUGACUCCUUAUGGUCUUGUUAAGAAUAAAUCUCGUCUUGUUAAUAAGGACCCUGACCAGUUCCACUCUGUGUUAUAUGAAGUGGAUGAAGAGGGUGAUGAGGGCCAGCCCAC